GCCGAAGUGAUGGAACUGGCAGACGUGCGAGACUCAAAAUCUCGUGGUGGCAACACCGUGCGGGUUCGAGUCCCGCCUUCGGCACCA
rnacentral:tRNA from 1 species